GCAACCUCUAUGGCAGCUUGUGGACACUCUCAUUCCUAAUAUGUUGCUCUCACAAACUGAAAAUUUUAUUUUAAAUCAUAAGUUUAUCAGAACACCUCUCUACCCACAUACCAGAAUGCAUUCACCAAACUGGCAUGCCACUCUGUAAAGAAGACAGCAUCACCAGGAUUUCCCAUACACCACUCACCCAGACUUCCCACUGGACAAAUGCUGCCUGUGCUCUGGACCCUAUCUGCCCUUGCAGGUUUAGAGGCUGGGGAGCAGAACUGCAGAGGAAGCCUUACCUCUCUGGAGUAACCAAGAUGCCCCAAGCAACACUGAUGCCACAGCGUUGUGGCCCACAGAGCAGUGCACAAAGAAUCAUUAUAAGCUAAUCCUGAUGUGUCUUACCCGUGUGUGCCUGCGUUUUCCUCUACAGCUCCAUAGCAUGGACUUCACAUGCCCUAUGCAUAUCAUGCAUCUAAUCUUCAUAUCUGCACAAGCAAUUAUUGCAGACUUUCCAUAGGGGUUUUUGUCUUUUAAUGAUGAAAAUGGAUGGACACAAAAUUACUGAUUUGGAGAUGUUUAUUCAAAUAAUUACUGUGAAUAUAUAUUCUUAGAUUUCUUUCUUUUAUCACUAUAGCUACUACCUUUACAUUUUCCUCUAAAAUUUUUUCACAUAUGUUUUUUGGUUUACGGGGGUUGUUGUUGUUGUUGUUGCUGCUGCUGCUGCUGCUGCUGUUGCUACUGCUGCUGCUGUUCUGGACAUGGUUUUGCUAUAUAAAUCAAGAGCAGCCUGAAAGUCAUGACCACCAUACCUAAUAUUAACCUUUUGUUACUCUAACUGUGCCAAACUACUGCAUUUUCACUAAACUUUUAAUAAAGUCCAUGAUGUAUGCACUUAA
rnacentral:lncRNA from 1 species